CCUACGGGUGGCAGCAGUGAGGAAUAUUGGUCAAUGGGCGGAAGCCUGAACCAGCCAAGUCGCGUGAGGGAUUAAGGCCCUGCGGGUCGUAAACCUCUUUUGCCGGGGAGCAGAGGUCCGGACGUGUCCGGGCCGGGAGAGUACCCGGAGAAAAAGCAUCGGCUAACUCCGUGCCAGCAGCCGCGGUAAUACGGAGGAUGCGAGCGUUAUCCGGAUUUAAGGGGUGUGAAGGGCGCGUAGCCGGGCUGACAAGUCGGAUGUGAAAUCCAGUGGCUCAACCACGGAACUGCAUUUGAAACUGGCGGUCUUGAGUGUAGGAGAGGCAGGCGGAAUUCGUGGUGUAGCGGUGAAAUGCGUAGAUAUCAGGAGGAACACCGGUGGCGAAGGCGGCCUGCUGG
rnacentral:rRNA from 1 species